AUGAUGAAAGUAUCAUUCACUGAACACUCAACCCAUUUGGUUUAAUUUUCUUAGGUUUCUGAGAAAAGAGCCAGAAAUCGAACCUGGAACCUGUUGCUGCUAAUCAAAUCAUGACAGAAAGAGAAACCUACCACAGGAGCUAGAGCUUCAUGAUUUCUAUCAAAAGGUUCUGGCUUUGGUACUAAAGCAAGCAGGCAGCAUUCUUU
rnacentral:lncRNA from 12 species